rnacentral:rRNA from 1 species
GCAAUAUAUACUGGUGAAACUGCGAAUGGCUCAUUAAAUCAGUUAUCGUUUAUUUGAUAGUACCUUACUACUUGGAUAACCGUGGUAAUUCUAGAGCUAAUACAUGCUAAAAACCCCGACUUUUGAAGGGGUGUAUUUAUUAGAUAAAAAACCAAUGCCCUUCGGGGCUUUUUGGUGAUUCAUGAUAACUUAACGAAUCGCAUAGCCUUGCGCUGGCGAUGGUUCAUUCAAAUUUCUGCCCUAUCAACUUUCGAUGGUAGGAUAGUGGCCUACCAUGGUUUCAACGGGUAACGGGGAAUUAGGGUUCGAUUCCGGAGAGGGAGCCUGAGAAACGGCUACCACAUCCAAGGAAGGCAGCAGGCGCGCAAAUUACCCAAUCCCGACACGGGGAGGUAGUGACAAUAAAUACUGAUACAGGGCUCUUUUGGGUCUUGUAAUUGGAAUGAGUACAAUUUAAAUCCCUUAACGAGGAACAAUUGGAGGGCAAGUCUGGUGCCAGCAGCCGCGGUAAUUCCAGCUCCAAUAGCGUAUAUUAAAGUUGUUGCAGUUAAAAAGCUCGUAGUUGAACCUUGGGCCUGGCUGGCCGGUCCGCCUCACCGCGUGCACUAGUUCGGCCGGGCCUUUCCUUCUGGGAAUCUACAUGCCCUUUAUUGGGUGUGUUUGGGAACCAGGACUUUUACUUUGAAAAAAUUAGAGUGUUCAAAGCAGGCCUUUGCUCGAAUACAUUAGCAUGGAAUAAUAGAAUAGGACGUGCGGUCCUAUUUUGUUGGUUUCUAGGACCGCCGUAAUGAUUAAUAGGGGUAGUCGGGGGCAUCAGUAUUCAAUUGUCAGAGGUGAAAUUCUUGGAUUUAUUGAAGACUAACUACUGCGAAAGCAUUUGCCAAGGAUGUUUUCAUUAAUCAGUGAACGAAAGUUAGGGGAUCGAAGACGAUCAGAUACCGUCGUAGUCUUAACCGUAAACUAUGCCGACUAGGGAUCGGGCGAUGUUAUUAUUUUGACUCGCUCGGCACCUUACGAGAAAUCAAAGUCUUUGG